GAGCGCCCCGCAAGGGGAGCGGCAGACGGGUGAGUAACGCGUGGGAAUCUACCCUUGACUACGGAAUAACGCAGGGAAACUUGUGCUAAUACCGUAUGUGUCCUUCGGGAGAAAGAUUUAUCGGUCAAGGAUGAGCCCGCGUUGGAUUAGCUAGUUGGUGGGGUAAAGGCCUACCAAGGCGACGAUCCAUAGCUGGUCUGAGAGGAUGAUCAGCCACAUUGGGACUGAGACACGGCCCAAACUCCUACGGGAGGCAGCAGUGGGGAAUAUUGGACAAUGGGCGCAAGCCUGAUCCAGCCAUGCCGCGUGAGUGAUGAAGGCCCUAGGGUUGUAAAGCUCUUUCACCGGAGAAGAUAAUGACGGUAUCCGGAGAAGAAGCCCCGGCUAACUUCGUGCCAGCAGCCGCGGUAAUACGAAGGGGGCUAGCGUUGUUCGGAAUUACUGGGCGUAAAGCGCACGUAGGCGGAUCGAUCAGUCAGGGGUGAAAUCCCAGGGCUCAACCCUGGAACUGCCUUUGAUACUGUCGAUCUGGAGUAUGGAAGAGGUGAGUGGAAUUCCGAGUGUAGAGGUGAAAUUCGUAGAUAUUCGGAGGAACACCAGUGGCGAAGGCGGCUCACUGGUCCAUUACUGACGCUGAGGUGCGAAAGCGUGGGGGAGCAAACAGGAUUAGAUACCCUGGUAGUCCACGCCGUAAACGAUGAAUGUUAGCCGUCGGGCAGUAUACUGUUCGGUGGCGCAGCUAACGCAUUA
rnacentral:rRNA from 1 species